rnacentral:rRNA from 1 species
GGGCCCGCACAAGCAGUGGAGCAUGUGGUUUAAUUCGAUGCAACGCGAAGAACCUUACCAGGCCUUGACAUCCUCGGAACAAUCUAGAGAUAGAUUGGUGCCUUCGGGAACCGAGUGACAGGUGCUGCAUGGCUGUCGUCAGCUCGUGCCGUGAGAUGUUGGGUUAAGUCCCGUAACGAGCGCAACCCUUGUCCUUAGUUGCCAGCACAUUAUGGUGGGAACUCUAAGGAGACUGCCGGUGACAAACCGGAGGAAGGUGGGGACGACGUCAAGUCAUCAUGGCCCUUACGGCCUGGGCUACACACGUGCUACAAUGGCUAGGACAGACGGCCGCAAACCCGCGAGGGGGAGCCAAUCCGACAAACCUAGUCGUAGUCCGGAUCGGAGUCUGCAACUCGACUCCUUGAAGUUGGAGUCGCUAGUAA